UGUGGAAAGGCAGGAGUGAGCCCAGGAGCCACAGGCAACAUCCGGGGAUAGCUGCCAAGAGGAAGCAGUGAGUCAAGAACGUGGCUCCUGAACGUCAAGUCUUGGAAUUCAAACACUUCCAUCAAGUAACAGUCAGCAGCCCUGAGAAUUGUUGCUGCUAUCUAGAAGAUAGUGCAUCCUCGAGCCAGAACCCCAGUGACAACCUCAGGCUGCACUUGUGCUCCCAUCUUCUGUAUUAAAUGUGCCUUCGGACUCGGACUGGAGCUCUACCAUCUGCUCUCCUGGGUCUCCAGCUUGCCGACUGUAGAUCUCGGAUUUCUCAGACUCCAUAAUUGUAUAAGCCAAUUCCUUACACCUUUAUCCAGCCCAACAGAUGAAAACAUCCUCAUCUGAGGCACCUGACCCUGAGUCCAGAGCACUGGGAACGAAAAGAAUAUCCUGAGACACCCGUUCUCUUAUUCCUGGGAGCCGUCCUCCAGCUCCUGCAGUUACAUUUCCUCUGGGAAGUGUCUCAUUUUCCUCGUCUUGACAUUUUUCGUGCUUGGUAAGAUGCUCUAAGGAGCUAUGCGUCACGUUCUCAUCUCCAUGACCAUGCCCUGGGCCAGAGCAUAUGACGCCUCUACUGUAAAAAUGUGGAAAUAUUCUUUCCAAAUGAUGGUGACAGUGGCCACACUCAGGUUUUCUGUAGCCUUUCUUCCUCUUUUUCUUUCCUCUGGUGUUGCAUUUGUGUUUGGUUUCCUCGCUAUCUCACUUGCUUUAGUGGAGGUAUGGCUGGGGCUGUCUCCCUCCCUCUCAGCAUGUGCCCACUCUGUCCUCCCUCCCCAACCCUGGACUCCAGCCAGUGUGAC
rnacentral:lncRNA from 1 species